rnacentral:sRNA from 1 species
AUGCGUUCAUGUCUGUUUUGACUUUGUUGCCGAGAAAUUUUACUAAAACUAGUAAAGCUAAGCUCUUUGAGUCGUUUUUCAUGUUUAAUUGAAGCAGUAGAUUGUUCUUCUUCCACUAUUGGAUGCCAUGGAAGUAGAAAUCUUCAGGAUUCUUCUUGGCUUUGAUUCUGAGAUUUUUGCAAUUUGAAAGUUUAAUCAAAGGCUACUGUGAUUUUUUUGGAUAUUUUUCUAUGAUUUGUGAUUUUGAGUUGUGGUGUUUUCUCUUUUUCCCGUUGUUGAGAUGUUGAGAAAAUUUCUGUCCAGAAUUGUUGAUUCACACUAUUUGCUGAUUCGGUUUGGUAUGCAUUGGUUUUGAAAUUAAAACUGAUUUCGGUUCGGUUUCAUUGGUUUUGUUGAAAAAAACUAAAAGAGUCACGCGAUGGAGAAUUUGGAGAGAUGUGCGUCGAUAAAAAAAGUCAUGAAUUGGAAAGGGUACGAAAUAGAGCCUUCUGAUUGGCUUAAAAACUCAAAAAAAGUGCAAUAGUAUACUUGUUGCUAGCUCUUAUUAUUUGAUAAAGUUUUGUACUUGCAUCUUUUUUUUCAGUCACCGGAAGUUGGAAUUUCGUUUGUGAUAGGAUCUAAACAAGUAUCAAAGUCUACAAAUGCUGGAUUAAGCAAGUUAAAGCCUUUGUGAUUCCCCUGUAUCUUCAACAACGUCGUCUUCAAAACUUUAUCCAAAGACAUCUGUGGAUAGCCAUAACAAGCCACAGUUACAUUAUACAGGAAAGGUACCGCCUAAGGCUUUGCAUUCCAAAGAAAUUGUCACAAUCACUUUGUUUGAUAUGUUUGUUCUGUGGAUUGUUAACAUUGGUUUAUACUUGAGUGAGGUCCCAGACAGGAAAUCAAACUCACAUUAUGCAUGUAGCUACUGUCGUUCUGUUGACCAUAUAAAGCCUUUACUUUUACUGUAGUUAGUUUAUAGUUGCAUUCUUUAGCUUAGUUCUCUGCUUUACACACUUUGCAACCUAGUAGAACUUUUCUCUUAUGACACCCGUGGUCAAUACAUUGGUUGACAAUAAUGAAAGUGGAGCUGCUAUAACAUCUUUUCUUUUUAUCAAGUGAUUUUAUGUUCGGUAAUAGCUUACUGUUUCAUUAACUCUGACAAACUGUUUAUUAUUGCACUGUCUGAACACUUAAAGAUGAACAACUGACCAUAAUUUCACUUUCACAUAUAUCUGCAGAACCUCAUUGACCUGACAGGUUCUGAGAGCUCAAAGGCUGAAACCAGUGGUUUAAGGCGCAAGGAAAGGUCUUAUAUAAAUAAAGCUUUGCUGACUUUAGGGACUGUGAGUUCUUGGUUAUCAUUGUUUUCCCCCAAGCGACAAUAGUUUUUCGAAUUUAAGAACCUUUUUUGCAAGUUGGAUCGUUCUUUUGCAAAUUUGUAGGUACUUGUUAUAGUAUUUGAUACUCUUAUUUACUUUCUGUUGGUGACAUGCAUAGUGCUGAUUUCACUGUCUCUUAUAUUUUUAUGAUCCAAACAUGAAACACAUACAUAAUCCAUCCUCAACCAAUGGAAGAGUCUAUCAAUCAAAAUC